rnacentral:rRNA from 1 species
UACGUAGGGACCGAGCGUUGUCCGGAAUCAUUGGGCGUAAAGAGCGUGUAGGCGGCCAAUUAAGUCCGGCGUGAAAUCUCGGGGCUCAACCCCGAGCGGUCGUGGGAAACUGGUUGGCUAGAGUGCGGGAGAGGAGAGUGGAAUUCCUGGUGUAGCGGUGAAAUGCGCAGAUAUCAGGAGGAACACCGGUGGCGAAGGCGGAUCUCUGGGCCAUUACUGACGCUGAGGAGCGAAAGCGUGGGGAGCGAACAGG